AGAGGGUGCAAGCGUUAAUCGGAAUUACUGGGCGUAAAGCGCGCGUAGGCCGUUGGGUAAGUCGGAUGUGAAAUCCCCGGGCUUAACCUGGGAAUUGCAUUCGAUACUGCCUGACUAGAGUGUGGAAGAGGGAAGCGGAAUUUCCGGUGUAGCGGUGAAAUGCGUAGAUAUCGGAAGGAACACCAGUGGCGAAGGCGGCUUCCUGGUCCAACACUGACGCUGAGGCGCGAAAGCGUGGGGAGCGAAC
rnacentral:rRNA from 1 species